GCAAGUCGAACGGAGUUAUAUUGUAGCUUGCUAUGGUAUAACUUAGUGGCAGACGGGUGAGUAAUGUAUAGGAAUCUACCUAGUAGUACGGAAUAAUUGUUGGAAACGGCAACUAAUACCGUAUACGCCCUACGGGGGAAAAAUUUACUGCUAUUAGAUGAGCCUAUAUUAGAUUAGCUAGUUGGUGGAGUAAUAGCCUACCAAGGCAAUGAUCUAUAGCUGAUCUGAGAGGAUGAUCAGCCAUACUGGAACUGAGAUACGGUCCAGACUCCUACGGGAGGCAGCAGUGGGGAAUAUUGGACAAUGGGCGAAAGCCUGAUCCAGCCAUGCCGCAUGAGUGAAGAAGGCCUUUGGGUUGUAAAGCUCUUUUAGUGAGGAAGAUAAUGACGGUACUCACAGAAGAAGUCCUGGCUAACUCCGUGCCAGCAGCCGCGGUAAUACGGAGAGGGCUAGCGUUAUUCGGAAUUAUUGGGCGUAAAGGGCGCGUAGGCUGGUUAGUAAGUUAAAAGUGAAAUCCCGAGGCUUAACCUUGGAAUUGCUUUUAAAACUGCUAACCUAGAGAUUGAAAGAGGAUAGAGGAAUUCCUAGUGUAGAGGUGAAAUUCGUAAAUAUUAGGAGGAACACCAGUGGCGAAGGCGUCUAUCUGGUUCAAAUCUGACGCUGAGGCGCGAAGGCGUGGGGAGCAAACAGGAUUAGAUACCCUGGUAGUCCACGCUGUAAACGAUGAAUGUUAAAUAUGGGGAGUUUACUUUCUGUAUUACAGCUAACGCGUUAAACAUUCCGCCUGGGGACUACGGUCGCAAGAUUAAAACUCAAAGGAAUUGACGGGGACCCGCACAAGCGGUGGAGCAUGUGGUUUAAUUCGAUGCAACGCGAAAAACCUUACCACUCCUUGACAUGGAAAUUAUACCUAUUCGAAGGGAUAGG
rnacentral:rRNA from 1 species